GGGGAAUAUUGCGCAAUGGGGGAAACCCUGACGCAGCGACGCCGCGUGAGCGAAGAAGGCCUUCGGGUUGUAAAGCUCUGUUGUAAGGGACGAAAGAAUAAGGGAGUAACUGCCCUUAAAGUGACGGUACCUUACCAGCAAGCCCCGGCUGAACUACGUGCCAGCAGCCGCGGUAAGACGUAGGGGGCGAGCGUUGUCCGGAAUUACUGGGCGUAAAGAGCACGUAGGCGGAUGUAUAAGUCAGGUGUGAAAGACCGCAGCCUAACUGCGGGGUUGCACUUGAAACUGUAUAUCUUGAGGGCAGGAGAGGUUAGUAGAAUUCCUGGUGUAGCGGUGAAAUGCGUAGAUAUCAGGAAGAACACCAGUGGCGAAGGCGGCUCUCUGGCCUGAAACUGACGCUCAGGUACGAAAGCUGGGGUAGCAAACG
rnacentral:rRNA from 1 species